rnacentral:snoRNA from 1 species
AAAAUCGACGACGAAGAACUGAUCUCCUACAUCAUCGCCGGCCUGGACUACGAGUACAACUCGGUUGUCUCAGCCCUGGUUGCAAGAUCGGAUGUGAUCACGAUCGGGGAAGUAUAUUCCUAGCUUCUGAGCUACGAGC